CAGUAGCCGCGGGAAUACGUAGGUGGCAAGCGUUGUCCGGAAUUAUUGGGCGUAAAGCGCGCGCAGGCGGCCUAUCCAGUCUGUCUUAAAAGUUCGGGGCUCAACCCCGUGAUGGGAUGGAAACUAGUAGGCUAGAGUAUCGGAGAGGAAAGCGGAAUUCCUAGUGUAGCGGUGAAAUGCGUAGAUAUUAGGAAGAACACCAGUGGCGAAGGCGGCUUUCUGGACGAAAGCUGACGCUGAGGCGCGAAAGCCAGGGGAGCGAACGGGAUUAGAUACCCGCGUAGUCCCUGUCUCUUAUACC
rnacentral:rRNA from 1 species